rnacentral:hammerhead_ribozyme from 1 species
AUCCAGCUGAUGAGUCCCAAAUGGGACGAAACGCGCGUCCUGAAU